AUGAGAAUAAAUGUCUGAAUAUCUGUAUCAGUUAGCCUUGGUUGAACCACAAACCAACCCAAACAGGGCUCAAACCGUUUUAUCUGCCGACAGUUGUGUGGAUGUGGGCAGGUCAUUUGAGCUGGGCCCCACAGGAUGGCUCGCUGUGGUGCUGGCUCAUUCAGGCGCCUAAGUCAGCGGAUGGUCAGUUGCCUCACUUAUGUCCGGUGCUGGCUGAGGGGCCAGAGGCAGGAGCUGCUCAUCACCCUGCAGGGCAGCCUGUUCCUGUCGUGCUGCACAGUCACGGAGCUCCCAAGGGCAGCAGCAGAGACGCCUUGUACAAAUGCGCUUUCUUAGCCUCUGCUGAUGUCACAUUGGCUGAUGCUUCCUUGGCCAAAGGAGAGCCCAUGGCCAAGCUCAGAUCCAGGGCUCCGUGCUGUGAACUCCACCUCUUGAGGCGGGGACAGGGGUGGCACGGUCACAUGGCAAAGGGAUGUGAAUAUAGGCACAGAAGUAAGGUGUUGUUCUUGUCAUCUGCCGUCAUAUCCUUACAUGAUAUUCUUAUCUGCCAUAAUGUCCUUACCAUAAUGUUAAACAUUGCUCACACAUUCCUAAGAGAGAAACAGGGUCAGUAAUUCUGAACUUUCACAAUGUUAUUGGCAUUUUACUUGACUUUCUAGACAUGAAAUGAAAUUCUAAUUCCCGAGAGUUUUUUUCCCCCAGUAUUUAACAUUUUUUCCUGGGCUAAGUUUUUUUCCAGCCUCCCCUCUCCUUUACUACCAGGUUAUUGAAGCUGUUCUUUUAAAACUACAAGGAAGAAGAAACGGAGCGGGCUUGGGAAAUGUUGAAACAGCAGCGCGCCAUUCAUCACAGCACUGCUGAAGAGACCAGCUCUAUGUGACAUUGCCAGAAUUUCCAUCACAGGAAGCAGCUUUUGAAAAUCAAACUGAUGGAUGAGAGGGUGAAAUCCACUGAGUGGGCCGUGGAGAACAGCCGUGUUUGAGAGGCAGCUCAGCGAUGUGAAUGAGGCCAUGAAGACGGCAGUGCCUGUGGGCCCCGAUAAAUGAUGGCACCGAGCAACUGGCAGGGCGGUGGGGGUGGGAGGGGUCCCUAGGCCCCACCCCUCUCUGCUCCUGUCUGUGUAAUUAACAGCCUGCCUCUGUCAGGGGCUCAGCCUUCAGUGCUCUCUGCUGCGGCUCUGGUCAGCGAGGCCUGGAGGGGUGGCUCCUUCACCUGCCCUCUCCUGGUUUUUCCUGUGCCUGCCCCCAUGAGCCAGGAGAUGCAUUCACAGCUGCCUUUUUUUGAUGUCUUCCUUUAAAAAGAGGCAUUCCUCUG